UUUUAUGGAGAGUUUGAUCCUGGCUCAGGAUGAACGCUGGCGGCGUGCCUAAUACAUGCAAGUCGAGCGAACAGACGAGGAGCUUGCUCCUCUGACGUUAGCGGCGGACGGGUGAGUAACACGUGG
rnacentral:rRNA from 1 species